rnacentral:rRNA from 1 species
UACGUAGGGUCCGAGCGUUGUCCGGAAUUACUGGGCGUAAAGAGCUCGUAGGUGGUUUGUCGCGUUGUCCGUGAAAACUCACAGCUCAACUGUGGGCGUGCGGGCGAUACGGGCAGACUGGAGUACUGCAGGGGAGACUGGAAUUCCUGGUGUAGCGGUGGAAUGCGCAGAUACCAGGAGGAACACCGGUGGCGAAGGCGGGUCUCUGGGCAGUAACUGACGCUGAGGAGCGAAAGCGUGGGGAGCGAACAGG